UGGGAAUUCAUAGGGGUUCCUCGCUACCCGUGAACCAUUAAAAUUACAACCUGAUUCCAGGGCCGUCCCCAUACCCCGUCUGGUAUGGGCGCCAAAACCAUGAACCUCAAUACCCCGUCCGGUAUGAGGGUGAAACGGGCCGUCCCCAUACCCCGUCCGGUAUGGGCGCCAAAACACAUAAGGUCUCCAUACUCCGUCCGGUAUGAGCGCCAAAACACAUAAGGUCUCCAUACCCCGUCCGGUAUGAGAGACCAAGUUCCCGGUAGGGUUCCUUACGGACUCGGUUCGUCCACUAUUUCCCAGGAUAUCUAGUCAGGUUGUCCACAUUUUCCACUUAUCAAUUCACAUAACCUUUUUGCCUUUUUUCUUAAUCUCAAUCAUCCAAUCAUACACAACAUGUAAACCAGUAAUUGACACCAAA
rnacentral:lncRNA from 1 species